UCUCUCUCUCUCUCUCUCUCUCUCUCUCUCUCUCACACACACACACACAGAGAGAGAGAGAGAGAGAGAGAGAGAGA